AUGAAUGUCUUGUGUUGGAACUUUCGUGGUUUGGGUAAUCCCGCGACAGUUCGUGAAGCCCGUGAACUCACGGCUAAAUUUACCCCGGAUGUGCUAUGUCUUGUUGAAACUCAAAUAAGUAAAGAGCGUGCUGAAAUUUUAGCUCAGUCGUUUGGUUUUGAUAGUUCUUUUGUGGUUGGAAGUACGGGGAGGAGCGGAGGCAUUGUAAUAUUCUGGAAUGAUUCAAUA
rnacentral:rRNA from 1 species